GAGAGUAAAACAGUACGUGAAAUUGUUGAAAGGGAAACGAUUGAAGUCAGUCGUGCCGGCGCGAAAUCAGCUUGACCGGUAGGAGGUCACAGGCUGUGGCGAGCCUCAAAACCGCCACGACUUGUGCUCUUCUGCCGGCCUCGUGCACUUUGGGUGUACUUGCCCGUAUGGUUGGUUAACAUCAAUUUUGGUGGUCAUAAAAUGACUGGAGGAAUGUAGCUUCGAUCUCGUAUUGAAGUGUUAUAGCCUUCGGUAGAUGUGAUGAUCGAGAUUGAGGAUUGCAACGGAUACCCUUCGGGGCUACCUGUCUGAUCUCUGAUCGUUGCUCUGGUGCCGAAAGCUUGCUUACGGUUAUCAAAGUCGAUGGUCAAUAGGUUAGAACGGGUUAAAUUCGUUAAGGAUGUUGACGUAAUGGCUUUAAACGA
rnacentral:rRNA from 1 species